UUGACUUAUUUGUGUUUUACUCAGAGAUCCACUAUGAUAUACUAGAGUUUGUGACCUCCGGCGGGCGGCCCCGCACCUCCGGGGAGGCGCGGCGCCGCGGCCCUCCCCCGGGGGGGGGAGCCGGCUCCGCCGAAGCAACUGGGACGAGUUCGCGAUGGUUUGAAGUAGCCUUUCGGCUUCUUGUAAUGAUCCCUCCGCUGGUUCACCAACGGAGA
rnacentral:misc_RNA from 1 species